UCCUGGAUACCCACAGGGGUCCAUAUCACAUCUCAGUUGGCUCUUGGGUACCAGGUACCAGUUGGCAGAGGGCCACCCCAGGGUCCCCUCCUGCUGACUUGCAGGGUCUCUUGACUUGAAACUUUCAAGCCAGAUGUCCAGUGGGAACUUCUUUGCAGCUAUUCAUUGUGGCCUCAGGGCCACUGUGACUCUGAAGCCCGACAGGACAGCACUCUGGGGAGAAGCCAGACGGAAACAGUGGAAGAAAGUGAGGUGGCCCUUUUACUGUUGACACCCUUCUCUCCCUCAAAUCAAUGUCAGGAGUCAAAAGGUUGUGGACGGCAUAGGAAGAAGUUUGAUUAAAAGGGAAAAUUUAAAAUUGUACACUCAGUACUACUCAUAGGAAGCCCCUGAACUACUCUCCCUCAUGCUCAAUACCCAGGAACAAUACCCAAGAAUCAGGAAGUGGCCACUGCAAAGCCUCUGGGAGGACCUCAACCUAGUCUAGUCAAUACGUUCCUGAGGCAUGGGAACUGGGUUUCCCCUGGCAUCUGUAUGUCUUUGUCUUAUCAUUUGCACUCAGAGCAGAUGGCAAGUACCCCUUUAAGGUGCCCAUGGAGGUCAGAAGAAGGUGUCAGAUCCCCUGGAGAUGGAGUUACAGAUUCCUGAGCUACAGUUGUGACGAGACCCCAGUCUUUUCCUUAAUGGAAGUCAGUCUGGCUGGAGACAACUUAUACACGCCUAUAAAAUGUGGAUGCAGGACUUUGCCAUUAGAGACUCCAAAAAUAAACACCUUUCACCUGGCACAGGACAGCUGAGAAAGAACACGGACUACAGAUGUGCUGACACAGCUGUUUUCCAAGGAAGACUUCCCAAUCUUAUUUCAGUUGGGGCAUUUCUUACCAAUCCAAUCCUCUGGUGGCUGGCAAAGGAUCUUAUCCCUGGUUGCACAUUGGACAUGCUGAGAUCCCAGCUGAGUAGAGGUUGAGGCAAUUCAUACAAUACCAGUUAUUCCUCCUUGGCAGAAUCCCUAGCUGGGCAACUGCAAGCAUGUGUCCAGGUCCUUUGGAGAGACAAAGCUGUUUUGAAAGUAUGUGGUGGUUAGUCAAGACACCAGGACACCAAGACACCCAUUCAAUGAGGGGAUCUUCAAGGUCAGUCUUGCUCAAUUUAUACAGCUGGGACGAUGGCUGACAUCUCACGGCAUGAAAGGCCUGUGGUGGUAUUGCAGGAAGAACAGUUCUCGGAACUCCUGUUUCUGGAACUCUCUGCAGAACCUGUUAGUAUGCCAGGCCCAGGUUCAGAAGCUGGGGAGUGUUUGGACUGAAGCUUACUUCCCUCUGUGAGGUCCCUCUGUGAGUGAGGGCCCAUUUGGAUGGCAGAUAAUCUGUAGCUUAUUGCCUGAAGAUUCCUGCAAAAUCCCGUGUAUGCAGAACGACACUCUUUCUGGGCAUUGAAGGACUGGGAGAGGAGGCAAAUUGGUGUCAUCAGUACAGAGAUUCUUGCUUCUCUUGCACUGUCUGGGAACCUUCUAUGCAGACCUGCUUCCCAGCCAAGGGACACUUAGAUUUUAUCUUGACUGGAAGUCCGGGGGCAGCUUGGCCAUGAAGGUUGGUACAACUUCAGAAGACUCCCUCAACAGAUUGCCAUUCCUUGCCCAUCAAAAGCCUCCUCAGAGAACACAGGGCAUUCUCAGCUACCCAAGAUUUAAAUAAUCAACAUCAACCCGGUCUGCAGAAAGAUUGUGCUGGGAGGCAACAUGGUCUGUUUACAAACUUUACAUCUGAUUCCCACAGCAGUGGUAUCAGAUUACCCUGUGUGCUUCCGCUGUCUCCUUUAGAAAAGGAAAAUGAAUUGGCCUUUCUCUUGGGUUUAUUAUAAUAAUGGGUGGAAACCCUGCCCACCGAAUUCUUAAGUCUGGAAUGUCAGGAAACAGAGCUGUUGAGUGGCAUGCAGAGUGUCUUUAUGCUAUUAGAAAGAGCUGUCCACCUGUGAGUAGACAAGGUUAGAAUAUGCCUCUUUUUCUGGGGUGGGUCAGGUUGGUUCCUGAUGUCUUUUGGAAGCAGAGUACCCUGCUCAGCAAGCACCCUUUGGGCUAGGCAUUAUUGAGAAAGCUGAGCCUGAGGUCCAGUCGACACACGUUAGCCCCAGCAAUGAGCCUGGGAAAGAGACUGACGAUAAGACCCCCACCCCGAAUCCUGCACCUCUUCCACACACUCACCGGGAUCCUACCUAUCCACAGGCCCAGACAGAAUAGCACCCUCCAACCAGAGGGUGGGAGUGACUCACUGCCGUGAUGCAAUGCUCAGCAAAUGCUCCUCUUGAUAAACAGUGAGAACAAAAGCAGAAAGUCAAGUGGAGUUUUCUUUUCUGAGCUCCUUACCAGCUGAUCCCACUUCCUGUUCUUCUAAGGGCUUCCCUGACAGGCAGCUCGGCUUCAUAUUUGGUCAUUGCCCUCUCACCUUCCUGGGUGAGUCAGUGCAGCUGACCUUGUACCCUUCAAGCUCCAGGGCUCCAGUGUGUACUCUGCCCGUUUCCUGAUCUUUCCAGGUAACACCCCUCCCCUCCACCACACACACACUGAAUAGAGAAAGAGUCCUGCCCACAGCCCACAGCCUACAGCCCUCUGCCUCUGAGACAGACGUGCAUGCACUGGGGACAUGAGUCACGGCAUUCUCCCAUCCUCUCCAUCCGAUGCUAUUAUUGGAAUGGCUGUGCACGCAGUGCACGCCUGCUUCCCGUAUUUCACAGGCCAAGGGCUCCAGGAGCUGCUAACCACACACUGCUCAGCCCGAGACGCUACUUGGAGGAUCACGAGGUGGUUGCUCGGAAGGGUGAAUGCUUCCAAGAAAGCAGGUUUGUUGAGUCCAGCUAUCUCCACCUCCUUCAGUGAGCAGCAACCAUGUGUCUGGAACAUGCGCCUAGCAGUGUGCCCGCCUGCCGUUGUGGGUGGUACAAAAGAAAUUGUUCUGGAUUGAGUUUAGAGGAGGAGGCAGAAACAUGAAAAGCAAGAAAGGGCAUUGCAAACACAUGUGCUAAGCAAGCUCUCCAGGCAGAGGGAGCUGGGGAGGUCCACGUGGGAGGAGAAAAGGGAGAGAGAGCUGGAAGACAGGUAGCUGUGGGGGAGGUGAUGGACAAGAGGCCAUCAUCUCAGGGAAGAUGCAGAGGGGGUAUGAGUUGGAUUUGUUCCCACAAACCUAAGCAUUGAGCUAAGUCUGAAUUUUGAAGUUGGAUUUGUUUCCACAAAUCUAAGCAUUGAGCUAAAUCUGAAUUUUGAAGUUGCCUCCUCUGUACGCUAGGCGAUUAGCAGUUUAGUAGGGUUUUGUUUGUUUGUUUAGGAAUGUUUCUCAUUGCCAGGCAAGGUUAUUUGCUCCUUCUCUUCUUCAUGGAGAAAGGAACUGAGGCCAGAGGUAAUGGCCUGAGCCCUCAGCCCUUCCCCUAGAGCUGAGGGGUGACAUAUACAUCCACCAGGUCUGCCUUCUUCCACGCUUUCUGGCCACAGGCAAGGAGAGAUUGUUUUUCUUUAGGUGGAGAUGUGAAGGGGUGUGGACAGCCUGGUUUCUUCAUGCUUUUCUGUGAAAACCCAAAGCUGAUCUCACCUUGUAGAUGUUGAUCUUGGUUUAUGUCCAGCUAGCUGGACUCUCAGGAAAGUUCCGGCGCCCACUGCAGGUUGGAUAAGGCUGUGGUCUUCCUAAGUUCAGGAAGCCUACUUCCAUGCUUAUCUGGUGCAGGGCUGAGUUUCUGACAGAGGCAGCGAUUAACAUCCAUGUUUUCCCUACUGGACAGGAGCAAGCAAACAUGAGCAGAAAUAUACCUACAAAGACCUUUGCCUAGAGCUUCUUCAGAUCCUAGGAAAGAAGACUGGAAAUGGAAAAGCAAUUCCAAGGCCUGUGUGGGGGUCAGUCCCAGAGCGGGUUCUCAGAAGCCUGUAUCAACAGAACCUUAGCACAAUCUGUAUGGAAAAGAAUGUGUUGGCGGGGCGAGGGAGGCGGGGCAAGACAUCUCUCCUCAAGUCUCAAGCACAUGUGGCAUCUCAGAACACAUGGAAGCCACUUGGUCUCUCCCUUCCCUCUGACAGUGGGAGGAAGUGGCAAGACCUCGGUAGUCCACUGUGGUGAGUCACCAAAGCUCUUACGUACUCUUCCAAUCUCCUUCAGUUUGUUACAACUGACCCAACUUGAGGCUCCCGUCACCCGGAAGAGUGGGGCUGAUGCAGGGCACUUCUAUGAAUUAAGGCUAGCUGACUUGACUCUCUUCCUAGAUGCAAAUCUUAGAGUGGCUGGUCCCAGCAGUGGAACAGAGGACUGUUGGGAAAUAGGGAAACAGUAGUAUGCAAAUCCCUUCAGCAGGAUGGAAAGAAUUACCAUGUGACACACCCUUUGGGCUAUUUGUCCCAAAGGCCUGAAAACAGGGAAUCACACACAUAUUUGAGCCCAUGCUAACAGCAUCAAUAUUAACAGUAACCUCCCAAGUGUUUGUGGGCGGAGAAGUGAAGUUGGAAAUGUACCACAUGUUUCGUUUGUUACAACUGACCCAACUUGUGGCUCCCGUCACCCGGAAGAGUGGGGCUGAUGCAGGGCACUUCUAUGAAUUAAGGCUAGCUGACUUGACUCUCUUCCUAGAUGCAAAUCUUAGAGUGGCUGGUCCCAGCAGUGGAACAGAGGGUCAGUGGUACAUAAUAAUUGAGUUCAUAAAAGGUAGAGAGCCUGACAGGUGGUACAACAUGGGUGAGCCCCAAGGAUGCUGCUCUGUUCCACUUAUAUAACAUGUCACAAAUAGUCAGAGUUUAGAGACAGAGUGUUAGAAUAAUGCUUGCCAGACACUGGAGGAGGGAGACUAGGUCACUGUUUCAUGGGAACAGAAUUUCAGUUUUGCAAGAUGAAAAAGUUUGUGUCAUAUGUGUUUCAUCACAUUUUUUUAAAUUUGAAAAUGAAAAAUUUUGUCUGAUAUGUGACUAUAGCUAUGGGAACUGAUGUGAAAAUCUUAAGAUCUCCAUUCGAAUGAUAGGCCCGUGUGGCUGGGGAGAUUGGCGGUGACGCAGAGAUUGGAAGCCCCUCUUUGUCCUUGCUUCCGUGGACAGAGCGUGCUUGCUCAGUUGUGAUAAACUGAGGGAGACGUGAAGACUCCCACAAGAGCUUCUGUGACUCACCACAGUGGGUUACCAGGUCCCCACCACCUCUUCCCAUAGCUGUCCAGGAACACACAGCUCAGUGUCUCUUCUGGUCUCCACCACCCAGUGACCCUGGCUAUAGAAGGACAGGUGUCUGCAUUUACGAUCAUCACAUGGCAUGCCCUCGAGUCUCUGAGUUUCGAUUCCCCAGAUCCAGGGACUGUCUUUCUUAGAUGAAACUGAAACAUAGAUAGAAAUGCUUUUGAAAUCUAAUUUAAAACCUCCUGCUUUCACAAGCCCCUGAGAAACAACCUCUGUCAGUCAUUCCAUUGAUUGUUUUUAAACAAAAUGAUCAUUGUAUUGUAUCCAGAGGAAGAGAUUUACUGGGGUGAACACCAAAAAGAAUGGGAACAUCCUAGAGAGAUAGAGACAGAAAGAGACAGACAGAGAACAGAAGUGAGAGCCAGUGUUUGUUUUUUAAGGUGUUUGUUUAGCAUUUUGUGGUUGGAAACGCUGGACCGGAGCUGUAUAAUCGAGCAGGGAAGGGAUACCUCAAACCACCAGAAACACAAACCUCAAAACCGCCACGCAGCAAAUAUCAUAACUGGUGCGCGUGUUGCCAUGGCCAUCGCAUGAAGGGUGGCCUACCAUGGAAUGGAACCUCCCUAUGUAUGCUUGCUUUGUGUUCUUUUCUGUAUCUCCAAGCUGUGGGCCCAACUUUGCCCACACUCUCUCCUGCUUCAGAUUUUUCUCAGUGGCAUUUUCUGAAAAAUCUCUUCCACCAAUCCAUCCAUAACCCAAAACUGUAGAAUACUGUUGCCAUGUUAGUUCAAAGUUCAUAUCAGGUUAGAAGUUUUUGACCUAAUGCAUUGAGUGUAAAAAAAAGUUGUAAAGGACAUGAUUUAGAAUACUGAAACCAAGAAGGAUCUGGAAUGUUUCAACGAAAUGUGAGAUGACAAAACUUUUGGUUUCAUCUUGUUUAGAAAAUGACCAUCCAUGGCCUAUUGUUUGAUUUGUUUUUUCCAAGAAUUGUGGCAUUCCUAAGGCUCAUCUGUGGGAAAACAAAACCAAAACCAAAUCAGAUCUACUCUACUUCAAACGCUGAAUAUUCAUUGCUGUCCCCAGGCCCUCAACAGAAGUGUGAAGGAAACCUGUAAAAGAAUUCCAUGUAAGUUGGAUCAGCAAUACUGUAACUGAAUUUCGGAAUAAAUCAAGAUGGGCUUUUCACCA